UUUAUACGUCGAAUUUCGAUCGCGUCGAAUGUAAUACAAACAAUAGAUAAUGAAGCUUAAUGAGGUUUAUCAUCUUAUUAUUUAUUGUCUUAGUUGCAUUCGAUGCGACCAAAAUUCGACGUAUAAA
rnacentral:miRNA from 1 species